rnacentral:rRNA from 1 species
AACGAACGCUAGCGGCAUGCCUAACACAUGCAAGUCGAACGAGACCUUCGGGUCUAGUGGCGCACGGGUGCGUAACGCGUGGGAAUCUGCCCUUGGGUUCGGAAUAACAGUGAGAAAUUACUGCUAAUACCGGAUGAUGUCUUCGGACCAAAGAUUUAUCGCCCAGGGAUGAGCCCGCGUAGGAUUAGCUAGUUGGUGGGGUAAUGGCCUACCAAGGCGACGAUCCUUAGCUGGUCUGAGAGGAUGAUCAGCCACACUGGGACUGAGACACGGCCCAGACUCCUACGGGAGGCAGCAGUGGGGAAUAUUGGACAAUGGGCGCAAGCCUGAUCCAGCAAUGCCGCGUGAGUGAUGAAGGCCUUAGGGUUGUAAAGCUCUUUUACCCGGGAUGAUAAUGACAGUACCGGGAGAAUAAGCUCCGGCUAACUCCGUG